GCCUUCGUGGUGUAGUGGUUAGCACGCUCGGCGCGUAUUCGCUAGGUCCGUGGUUCGAGUCCCGGCGAGGGUA
rnacentral:tRNA from 1 species